AGAGUUUCCAUGAAGUGGUACUACAGCCGAUCAGGUACUGUAUCCUUCGUUUUCCAAUAUUUGUCAACAUCAACAUCAAACCCGUCAUUCUCAUUUAAACAAAUAUCAACCCAGAUAUUAUUAAAACGAGCCAGCUGCGAAUGGUGGGUUCAUAUGUCAUAGCUUGCAAAGAAAGCGACUGUGAUGAUAAUUAAUUGCUCCUUGAUGGUCUUGUAAAACCUCAAUAUAUGCUCCAAAAACAUGAGCUUUGAGCGGGAAAGUGUGGCUCUUCCAUGGCAGUUGAUGUGGAAGGAAAUUUUUCACAAGCUUGUUGCCAAUAAGCAAGAUUUCAAUCAUAUUUAUGAAGGAGCUGCUAAAUUAAAAUCAAGGGGCUAUCAGAGCAUCUGCAGAAAGUUCAAAUUCAAGCGGUGGAAAAGUGGGCCGUAUUGCACUUCAUUGUGUUAUCACGAAUUUCCUCCUCUCAACCCACCUGCAUGUUUUGCAACUGAUCACAUCACUGCAGAUCUUAGCAACCCAUCUCUCAUAUCCAAUGGCACGAGUUUCUCGAUCAAAUGAUAAUUUAACAUGGUAUCAGGGCAAAAUCUCGAAAUCAUUUUGCUGUUUUGUAUUGGUGCUCUCUCGUGAUCUUCUGUCAAUUUUAGUUUGCUGUUAAUGAUUAUUAUAAUCUUGUGUCUUGCUAUAUAUGCAAACUUUUUGAAUGGAGCUAGCAAAGUUUUUAAGCAACCUUAAAAAGUCUGUAAACGCUAAUUUCCUCUUUUAGUGAAUAAACCUGAGUAGUUUCUUCAA